GGCCCCAUAGCUCAGUGGUAGAGCAGUUGACUCUUAAUCAAUUGGCCGCUGGUUCGAAUCCAGCUGGGGUCACAA
rnacentral:tRNA from 2 species